GACGAACGCUGGCGGCGUGCUUAACACAUGCAAGUCGAACGGAAAGGCCCUGCUUUUGUGGGGUGCUCGAGUGGCGAACGGGUGAGUAACACGUGAGUAACCUGCCCUUGACUUUGGGAUAACUUCAGGAAACUGGGGCUAAUACCGGAUAGGAGCUCCUGCUGCAUGGUGGGGGUUGGAAAGUUUCGGCGGUUGGGGAUGGACUCGCGGCUUAUCAGCUUGUUGGUGGGGUAGUGGCUUACCAAGGCUUUGACGGGUAGCCGGCCUGAGAGGGUGACCGGCCACAUUGGGACGGAGAUACGGCCCAGACUCCUACGGGAGGCAGCGGUGGGGAAUAUUGCACAAUGGGCGGAAGCCUGAUGCAGCAACGCCGCGUGCGGGAUGACGGCCUUCGGGUUGUAAACCGCUGUCGCCUGUGACGAAGCGUGAGUGACGGUAAUGGGUAAAGAAGCACCGGCUAACUACGUG
rnacentral:rRNA from 1 species